GCCAGCGUGGCCUAGUGGUUAGAGCGUUGGACUAUGCCUCUGGAGAUCAGGAUUCGAUUCCCAGCUUGGACA